ACGGAAUAAACUAAGCUGCACCGGGACGCUUAAAGAUUUUAACUGGACACCGAAUUCACCAGGAGGAUAUGGAUUCUCUUCGAUAUAGUGGAACAAUUCGAAGACUACGAGUGCCUAUCCACAAGUACCGAACAACUUGUUCUUACUUUUUUUCUUCAACGUUUACUAGAAAGGAAGUGGUAUGUAAAGACUACAACUCAAUUGGAUACCAUUGCGUCCGGUUCUGUCCACCUAUAUAGGAAAAAAAUAUAUAACUUUGAAUGGGAAAGACCUCUCAAACCUUUACCCGGACAUAAAAGGCAUUGGAAUCAUCUAUGUUUGCAAGAAAGAAACAAUCAGGAUCAACGGUGGCCUGCACAGCAACAGCAACCUUAAAUUGCUUUGCACGAAUGAUGUUGGUGUUGUUGGCACUCGUGAGGCUAUUAAAAAGACCGUCAGCAUCGAAUCGCAAAAAAAAAAUAUUGAGAACUAAGUUCAGUUUAUAGAAGUGAAGGACAAUAAACCAAAAUUAAUAAGUUUAAUAGGAUUACUAUACCAUUCGAUAUUUUGUUACAAGUUCGCCACUAUCGCUUUUUGUCAGAAUAAUCACGCGAUCGAUGA